rnacentral:lncRNA from 1 species
AAAAAAAAAGUAAAAUUGUAUUUUGUAAAAUUACAUUAUUGUCUUAAAUUUUUUUUGUUGUGAUAGAAAAUAAAUAUGUUUUUUUUAUCCUCAUUUAGUUGACAAAAAGAGUUUUAUUAAUGUAGUUUUAAACCAUGGAAGUUGAUAUGAUAUCUUCCCAGACAUCAAUGACCUACUUUUUGGACUCAAACAAGGAGGCAGAUUCUAUGUCCUCCUACUUUCCGUGCUCUCCUAUUUUGUGUGAUCACAGUUAAGUCAUGUCAAUAUUUUAUAUUAUUUUUUUAUAGAGAUAAUAAGAUAAAAAUGAAUAGUAAUAUAAAAUAUUAAUAUGACUUAAUCGUAACUACACGAAUAGAAGGGCACGGAAAGUAGAAGGGAGCCGCGGUCAAACAAUCGCCCUUGUGGAAGGGUAAUCAUUGAUUUGAAUACAGUAAACACAAUUAGAAAAUGUUGAUAGUAACUGAUUAACUAUUUUGUUUUUCACCAACUAUUUAUUAUUAGUAUAAUGCCUAUUUAUCCACGUUUUGAGAUCAUUGGAGUACAUCUUCAUCUUAGCCGUCCAUGCUUUUUGGAUUCCAUAAAUAUAAAUAGUCUGGAUUCUUCAAACACGUACACGUACGACUGAUUCUAAUUUUAUUUUAUUUUAUUUUAUUUUUUUUUUGUAAAUUCCUUUAUUUUGUAGGGUGCUAUGCUUCAAGUAACGUCGAUAUCAGAUGAUGUAAUUGAGUCAUGAUGACAAAGUGCUUAUACAAUAUGUAGAUGAAAAAGGUAUGAUUAAAUUUGGAGUGUAUAGAAUAAGUGGAACCUUAAAUCACUACAAGGUGGUUCAGUAGUUGAGACGAAUUUCAAGUUCGUAUUCUAAAACGACAUGUUUUGUGUUUGAUUCCUUGCACAUAAUCAUACGAUGGUGGUCAGAAUGGUGAACUAUUUUGAGAAGCAACCAUCUAUUUCCUUUUCAAGAAUAAAACAAGUGGAACCUUCAUUUUGCCUGAAAACUUCACUUUGUUCAUUUGAUUUUAACAAUGUGAAAUUAUCAGUAAUUUGAUAAACCAAUCAAACUAGCUGAAUCAUAAAAUCGAUCCUUUAAUUUUGUUCUACAUUCUAUUGAAUUUACAUUAAGAAUAGAAAAAAUAAUGGUUAAUAAACAACUGAUUAAAUCACAUUAUUGCUAGCCCAUUGUAAGGUACUAAUUAUGUAACAACCUAUCCCUAACUUUACAAUUUUAUUAAUUUUAAAUGAGUGAAUUGACGAAAAUGCCUCUAGAGGCAAGGAUUUUGACUUCUGUUGACCAUCGGGGCGUCUCGGUCGACUUUUUAAGAUUGAUCGUUGACUUUUUGUUGACUUUUUACAAAAUUUGCUCGGGACCCCGCUCUGGUUCCGAAUCCACGCUCCGUUUUUCCAAAUUUAGUCGUUUAAGUUGAGUUUUACUAAUUGUUCCUAAUAUUAUGCUUAGGUGCAAUUAUUAUCAGAGACUCUGGUUAUUCCAGUUUAAACGGAUGCGGCCUCGCAAGUAUCUGUGAGUGGGUCUUUACUUUUAAAUAUUAUAUAUUUAUUCAGUUUCUAUUUAUACGUUUGAAAGAGAAUUUCCUACGUAUGCCUAGAUUAGACUAAUGUUUAUAAGAAUUAGCGAAAUAGCGGAAAUUACGAAAUUAUCCCAAAUCCUACGGGAUGCACAUGUAUGCAUACUUUUAUGGGGUUUUAAUUACAACCAUGAUUAAUAUUUUACUUAUUACUAUUAUGUUGAUGUGAAUUAUCAAAUUACUAUGGCACGACUAUAUUUAUGUUAUCUGCUCAUCGUUUGCUGCACCGGUGUUAGUACUCGCCGGAGCCAAGGCCAAUCUUUCACGUGUAUGUUCACAUCGCACUGUACGUUCACUUUGUAAGUGCCAGUCAUGUCCAUUGCUAUAGGCAAUUAGGACUCGUAUGUGCUGCUUAUAGCUCCACUUUUCACGUCGUAAAUCACUGGUACACCCAGUCAUGUUUAUGUCAGAAUACAUUUGCAUGAACUCGUGCAUAGCAUGUGUCGAUAAGCACUCGAUAUGAUAUGUUUGCUAAUGCGAGAUUAUGUGAUUACAUACGUUAUGUACUUAUUUAUGAAAUAUUGUGUCGUAUUGAAUUCUUGAGAUUUUGCAGGUUACGGUAGUUAUUUUCUUACUAUACGUAGUAUGUAUAUCUUGGAAACUAUACUUGUUUUACGGUGAUGGGUUAUUAUGUUUUCGAAAAAGUUUUUAUAAAGCUUUGUUUUUAGGCCCACUCACCCUUAUUUUUCACCCAUCCAGGUUUAGUAGCUACGCAUUUUGUGUCGACGAGGAUUCUUGGCAAAUCUUGGUAUAAGUGGUUACCUUCGAUGGUAUGAUUCUCAUCCUACCUUACUGCACUUUACUUAUGCUCCGACAUAACGUGUGAAAUGAGUUCAUUCCCGCUCACAAGCGCACUUUUGUGUUUAUGCAUUUUUAGGUUUAAAUUUAUCCACAAUUUCCUUAUCACUACACUUUUAUGGCUUCGUCACCUUCCUAGUGUCGGCCAGUACAGCUCGAUUUGGAGUCCAGGUGUACAUUCCGAGUCAGGGUGUGUCAAAUUAUAAAAAAUAAAAAUAAAAAAAAUAAAAAAAACACUGUACAAGAAAAAGUUAAAUAUUAAAAACACUGUUUACCAUUGUACAGUAAAUAGUUAAAUAUUAAAAACACUAUUUAUCAUUGUUUAUAUGAUGAAAAUACCCUUGCUACAUUUGAUGCAUUAUUUUGAAUUUCUUUUGAAGUUUUUUGUUUGAGGGCAUUUCUGUCCAAAUCUUUUUGGUGAAGCCCGUGACCCAAAAAAACACUAUUCACUAGGUUGUUGGCUUUAUAUAUAUUAGCCUUCAUGCAUGCGUGCUAUGUGCGAUUGACAUGUUUUAAAUGAAUAAUAUUAGACCAUGCUAGAAGAAACCCCUCAUAAACCAAUCAAAGCAGCUUGUUGAUGCACAAAAUCAGUGAGGACUUUGGUACAACAGAAAGUGUCAAGUUUGUGACCUUCGCUAGAUUGCUUCGGUCACUAGCGUGGAUAAGUAUGUAAAUGGAUAGAGAUAGGAAGCAAACACAAAAUGUACGUGGUUCACCCAGAUUGGCUACGUCCACAGAGUAGAGGAGUUCUCAUUAAUUGUGAAGGGUUUACACAAGUACAUAGGUUCAAGCUCUCAUUUUGUGAGUACUAGUGAAUGAUUUAGUACAAAUGACAUUAGGAAAUAUUGUGGGAGAAUGAUCUCCUUUUAUAGAAGAGAGUUUCUAGUUUUGUUUUGACAUUGACACGUGUCGUAUUGUGAUUGGCUUUUGAUGUUGACACGUAUCUCGCUAUGAUUGGCUUCUGAUGUCGACAUGUGUCGCGUUGUGAUUGGCCUCCUGGUUGGAGGGAAACUCUUCUGGAUCCUUGACGAUAUAACGUUGACCGGUGCUCAGUAGUUUUAGGAUUGGUCAAGUAUGAUACAAACACAGCUGAAUCCACAUAAUACAAUCGGUCUUUCAAUUUCGAUUUACAUUCUAUUGAAUUUACAUUAAGAAUAGAGAAAAUAAUAGUUAAUAAACAAUUGAUUGAAUUAUAUUAUUGUUAGCCUAUUGUGAGGUACUAAUUAUAAAAAAAAAAUUAAAAAAAACAUUGUACCAAAACAUAGUUUAUCACUGUUUACUACUAUACAGUAAAUAGUUAAAUAUUAAAAACACUGUUUAUCACUGUUUAUAUGACGAAAAUACCCUUGUCACAUUUGAUGUAUUAUUUUGAGUUGCUUUUGAAGUUUUUUGUUUUGGGGGCAUUUCUGUCCAGUUCAUUUUGAUGAAGCCUAUGAUCCCAAAAAACACUGUUCAUUAGGCUGUUGACUUUAUAUAUAAGAUGGAGUGGGAUCAGUUGCAGCUGUCAUGAUACCAAGCAAGUCCCCAAAAUACCAAAAAAAUAAAAAAUAAAGUUAGAAAUAUUAGCCAGAUUUUCUAUCCCUGUAUUGUCACUUGGUAUGGUGUAAGAGAGCUAAUUUUAACGCGAAAAAAUAUAGGAGAGCUAAUUUUAAAUUUUUGAAUAAAAAGCUUCAAGAGAGAACUUUAGUAAAAACAACCCUCAAUUUAACGGAACAAUUGACACAACUAAGUUGAGAGGGAAAUUGACAUGAAUGUAAGUCUAUGGGGGCCUCGGAAGCAAAUUGAGAGUUCAUAAAGUGGAACAAUACCUUCAGGGGGUAUUGCUACAUUUUUCACUUUGUAUUUAAACAAAUUUUUUUAAAACAAUAUCGUGAUGUACUUGGUAACUUGGGAAAUAAAUUAACUCUAAAUCUGUACAUUCAAUCUUCUAAGCCAGAUUGAAUGAAUAAUCAUAUGGAAAACAUCAUAUCUCUUGGGUGGAUUAUUCACUACAAAAUGCCUUUGCACCUGCUUCACUCUUUCCUGCAUUCUUCGAUAUUGCUCUUCAGGUAUUCCCAUUAAGAUUUCUUUAAGUUUUGGAAUUUCACUCACUGAAACUUGAACAGAAAACGAGUCCCAGUUAAGCACAUCACUGAAAGGCAGCACAUAGUGUUGUGAUAUCAAAACUGGAACACAAUCUGCAUAAAUUGCCUCCACAAUUCUUGGGCUGGCAACUUCAUGUCCACUAGGGCAAAUGCAAUACUUGCUUUUCUUCAGCAUGUCAUGGUAUGAAAGCUCUUCAGGGAGUUUUUCAUAGACCAGUAAAUCUCUGUCUUUUCCUUUCCAAUGCUCGAAAAGAAAUGGCCUAAUUCGACCGUGCAUUCGUCCUGCAAAAAAUGCUAGGAUUGUACGUUUGGACGGAUGCAAGCCUCCAAUUAGACCUGUUAUUUCACCAGUUUCCAGAUUGAUUUCAGGAAAUGAUGCAUCUUUCUUAGGGUUAAAGUGCUCGGAUGUAUUGGCGUUGCAUAGUACACGGAUGGCAACGAAGUACAGUUGUUUAACAUACCAUGUAGCCCUUGGCCCCUAUACAAAAGCCAGUAGCAAAUUAGUUACUCGACUGUGGAUCUGAACAACUGAUCAUGUGAAAUCAUACUUUCAUACAAUAUCUUAAUUGAAUUAUAUGUAAUGAUCAAUAAAUUCUAUUUAAUUCUACGUCUACAUGUAUAAAAAUUCUAGUAAUCUAUAAUAUUUGUUUGAAUGUGUGAUCCAGAUUAGCAAUAUGGCAAUGUGAAAUGUUGUACUAAUAGUAAAAAAUUUACCCAAUCAUGGCAAGAAAGCAUGACAUGAUCAGCUCCAAGGCUUCUGUUCCAGUAUGGAUACCUAUUAGAGAUGAUACGAACGUAAUCAACCACAGUGCGCUCAAGAACAGCUUUGUCACGAAUAAUCGGGUGAAACAAAUACUCGACGAUCAUCACAACACUGAAUGGCAGAAAAUAGACGUGAGCAUUUUCAGGCUCUCGAGUCCGGAACUUGGUAUCAGUUUCCAUGAAGCUAAGGAAGAGUCCCUCCAUAGAGUAAAUGUUUUUGCAAGGACCGUUAUGAAAUAUAGGCAGCUCUCCCUCUUCGUAGACAUAUAUUUUAAACAUUUUUUCCAUUAAGAGGUAGCUCCUACAUAAUUGAAAUAAAAUGAGACAGAACUGAAGAGUAAGGCAAUUUAUUUUUCGGACUAUUGAAAGAUUUAAGGUUCUAGUUAUGAGAGUUCAGUACCGGUGAAAGGCAUACGCAUUCCUGUAAAUAUCGCCUUUUGGUAUAUAAUCUGCAUCUUUAAGAGGUGUUGUAUGGUUAAGAUUUUUUAUUGCUUCCCCAAUCAAUGCUCUAGCAGCAGCAAGACCAGCUUCAAGUUUCUUCAGGUUUUCAUCUCCCUUCUGCCAAUCCCUUUGCGGAACAGAAUCGCCAAUGUAUCCCCUUCCAAGAUCAGGCAAUGCCUUCAUCCUUGUUGCAUCCUACAAGAUUAACUUGGUCAAAACAUAAGUGGUAACAUCAACCCAAAAAAAAGAAAUGGAAGAACAAAAUUGGUUACACAAGUUUACACCAUAACGAAAUUUUACAGAAAUUCAAGCACCAAACUUGAAUAAGUAGAAUACCUUGUAUGAUGAAAUAUAGUUGAUUCUGAAUGUGGAAUCAGAAAUCAUAUCUACGCCGGUACCCAACCAUGGAAAUUGAGACGUUCCUUUCGAACCAUUUGUCACAAGACUCACAACCAUAUAAACUAUAGCAAAGGAAGCCAUAGCAAACACAAUAGCAUUUUGAUAUCUUCUGUAAACCUGCUUCAUCUUUCUCUUCCUCUAUCAGAAACACACAAGCACACAUUACCUUUCAGAACACAUAAUUCUGUAAAUGUCUGGGAAAUAUAUGUAUGAUUAUAAGUAGUUAUCAGGUUUUCGCCUUAUCAAAUUUCACUUGAAUAAAAUAUACCUGAUUAACGGCAUUUUCUCUCUGAGGUAAUGCUAUACUGGAAUAGAAUAUGUAUCCAGAGCGUUUAAAAGAUGCUAUACUGGCAUCUUCUAACAACCGGUAACCGACAUGGAAUUUUUGGAGUGAACGGUAAGAUAAUUGUAUAAAAAUUUGGUACACUUCAACAAAUCAAGGGAAAAAAAAAAUCACAGAACGAGUAAUGAUUUGUAUAAAAUGACCUUAAUUAUACAUUAAGAUUUUGGCUACAAUAUUUAGAUGUAUUUAAUACAAUAAUCAUUUGACAGUCAGAUAUAAAUCAUGUGAAUAUAUGGACAGAUGGAUGAAGGGACUAGUAAUGUCCAUCCCCAUCCUCACAUUAUUACUUACGGUGCAAUCCAGAGACUCCAAAGUUAUUCUCGUUCCCUUCAUAUAUUUUGUCAAUCUCAAAUAACAAAUCAAUUCAACAAACAAUAAGAUUUAUAAAAGUAUUGGCCAUAAUUUUUUUUGGUUUCUCCUCUGCUCUACCUCUUACUUGAGUGCUAGGGUUUCUAUAUUUUUUAUUGAUAGAAUUUUCCUAUUAACCUUAAUAAGUCUUUCAAAUGGUUAAUAAAUAAUUUUGUAAAUACUCUCCGUUUAAUUCCUUUUUAUAUUUGGAAGAAGUUCAUCCUCAUAUAAAAUUUUGGUUCCGCCACUAUAUAAAUAUAUGUAUUUAAUGCUCGAAAACUUAAUUUCAAUCAUGUGGUAUCAUGCAAGAAUUAAAGAAGGUUUUGUUAUUUACUCCUGGUCCUGAUUCUUCAAGCACAAGAUAAUUAAUAAGAUUUGGAGAUGCUCGAUGUGACAUCCCACAUCGCCCAGGGAAGUGAUCCUUAAAUGUAUAUUCUCAUCCCUACCUAGCACGAGGCCUUUUGGGAACUCACUGACUUCGGGUUCCGUAGGAACUCCGAAGUUAAGCGAGAAGGAGGCCAGAGCACUCCCAGGAUGGGUGACCCACUGGGAAGUUGCUCGUGAGUUCCCAAAAACAAAAUCGUGAGGACGUGGUCGGGGCCCAAAGCGGACAAUAUUGUGCUACGGUAGUGGAGCGGGCCCGGGAAGUGAUCCGCUCCGGGCCGGGAUGUGACACUCGAGACCACUGUCAUUUGCAUAGUUGUAUUUUGAUGUUUUAUUUUAUCCUUUUAUUUUUAUUUUAAUGUAUUAAUUACAUUUAAAUUUAAUUUUAAGCGGACAAUAUUGUGCUACGGUAGUGGAGCGGGCCCGGGAAGUGAUCCGCUCCGGGCCGGGAUGUGACACUCGAGACCACUGUCAUUUGCAUAGUUGUAUUUUGAUGUUUUAUUUUAUCCUUUUAUUUUUAUUUUAAUGUAUUAAUUACAUUUAAAUUUAAUUUUUAUUUCAUUCAUCAUAAUAUAUUUUAAUGUCUACAUUUAGGCAACUAAUUUUUUUAUAAUAUAUAUUCCGAUAACAAUUUUGUAUGUUCUUUAUUUAGGUACAUUAAUACAUUUGAAUAUUUUGGUAUAUCCAUCGAUACAAACAUGUAGUUACAUUGAUUCAAUAUAAUGCAUUUUGGUCAAUAUAAUGUAUUUCGUUACGUACACUUUGGUACACACAUUUGAGUAUUGACUUUUAGGUACAUUAAUUCAAUUAUUAUAUUUCGGUAAAUACAUUUAGGUACAUACAUUUUGGUAUUGAUAUUUAGGUACAUACAUUUUUGGUAUUGACAUUUAGGUAUAUACAUUUCAGUAUUGACAUUUAGGUACAUUAAUUCAAUAUAAUACAUUUCGGUAUAUACAUUUAGGUUCAUUAUAAUAUAUUUCGGUACAAUCAUGUAGGUACAAAUAUUUCGGUACAAAAAAGUCAAUUUUAUAUAUUUUGGCACAAUUAUUUCUGAACACUUAUGUAUUUAUAUAUUUUUGUAUCACAAUUUUUUUUUAAUAUUUUCUCAUUUAAAUUCAUUUCUAAUUAAAAAAAAAACUAAAUAUGUGCAUAUUAAUAAAAUUAAAAUUUAAUAUGGAGAGAUUAAAUAAAAAUACACAUUAAAUAACAAAAAUUGAAUGUAAAUUUUGAUAAAAGUACACUCAAGGGAUUAAAUUGAAUAUUUAGCAUCAGGUUUUUUUUUUAAAUUUUAAUCUUUUACAAGGAUUAAUGUUCAAAAACCCCAAUAAAUUAUUAUCUUCGUGAAAACUAGACAACACAAACAAUCGUCCAAGCAAGGGCAACUCAAUAAUUUUUAUUUCAAAUAAUUUUAAGCAUCAUAAACUGUUAGAAAACGAGAUUCCCUAUCGUCGUUCACCUCAACGGUAUUGGAUCUCGCAACAAUUAAAUGGUUCACAGUCAUCAACGUACAUGAUCAGUAAUUUCUUCAAUAUUAAGAAUCUACACACCUGAUAAGUCGAGAUCUGAUAAGUGGACCGGGCAGGAACAUAUAGAUGUCUGGGCAGAUGCCUUUUACUUCAUGCAUACUUAAAAAAUCUGACACACACUUGUACGACAACAAUAAGGCAAGGAGAUAGCAACAAGAGAUAAUAAUAGAGUUUAUUAUUCAACGACUAGCCCAAAUGUUGAUGAAAGACCUGGCUUCAAGUCUUUCUAUUAUUUAUGGCUCUUCUCUUACUAUGAAUCUUGAUAAGCUUUCAUGCACGCAUGUGAAAGACUUGGCUUAAAGUCUUUUUAUUAUUUGUGGCUCUUCUCUUACUAUUAUUUGUGGCUCUUCUCUUACUAUGAAUUUUGACAAGCUUUCAUGCACGCAUGUGAAAGACUUGGCUUCAAGCCUUUCUAUUAUUUGUGGCUCUUCUCUUACUACGAAUCUUGUGCUCAUGCGCGUACAGAAGACAUUUUUUGAAUCACGACGUGCUACGUGCGAUUUACACGUUUUAAAUGUAUUUAUAUACGUUAAUUGACAAAAGAAAAGUUAAAUAUUUGAAGUAAAUGAAUAAUCUUAGAUCAUGCUAGAAGAAACCCCUCAUAAACCAAUUAAAGCAGCUGAAUCCACAUAAUAAAAUCGGUUUCUAUUGAAUUUAUCUUAAGAAGAUAGAAAAUAAUAUUUAAUAAACAACUGAUUAAAUCACAUUAUUGCUAACUCAUUGUGAGGCUAAGCUCACUCCCCUCUCCCUAAGUGUAGAUAAUAUUGUUUGUUAAAAAAAAUCAUUUAACAACUAAUUUAAUCACAUUAUUAUCCGCAUGCGAAAGACUUUUUUUAUAACCGGGCAUUACACGCCUCUUAAGAUGUUUUGAACGUCUUUAAAAAUAAAGGAAAUAAUAUUUAAUUAACAACUGAUUAAAUCACAUUAUUGCUAGCUUAUUGUCAAGUACUAAUUAUUAAAAAAAACAUGUACAAAAAAAAUUUAUUUAUUAAAAAACACUAUUAAAAUGACAAAAAUACCCUGCCACAUUUGAUACAUUAUUUUGAGUUACAUUUGAAGUUUUUUGUUUGAGAGACAUUUUUAUCCAGUUCUUUUUUUUUUUUUGGGUGAAGCUUAUGACACCAAAAAAUAUUGUUCAUUGAGCCCUUGACUUUAUAUAUAAAGAUAAGUCCUAAAACAAAAGGGAAUAUGAGAGAACUCUAAACUCCAUUGUAUAAGAGAACAAGUGACAACCAUAAAAGAUGUUUAAAUAACUACUACCAUCAAUUGAUGAUGUCAUUAAUGGUAAGUAAUGGUGCGAACAAAUAUUGAAGCUAUUUUCACUAACAGGUCAUUUUAGGGUGCAUUUGUUGCACCACACUAUCUCGAACUGGACUAACUUCAGGGAUUAAACUGGAUUGGUUUUGAAUGGACUAAGUAGUAUAAAGAUAAUGAAACAUUUGGUGCAGUGUCAGACUAAAUCAGAGAUUAAAUUAUUUUAGAGUUAAAAGACUUUUUUUUGUCAUUUUUAAUAUUUUAUUAUUGUUAAUACACACUUUUUUUAUUUGACUCUCUCCCCCAGUCUCACCACUUUUUUUCUUUGGUUUGCAUUCUAUUCUUCGAAAGCGCAUAUUUGCUCCCACUAAUAAUCAAACCCAGAAAACUCUCUCUUCCUUUCAUUUGCUUUCUCUACAAUUAAAACCCAUAUUUCUCUUCUUUUAAUUCACUUUCCCUUCAAAUCAAAUCCAGAAAAAUCCCUUCUUUUUUUUUUCAAUUUGCAGAGGCUCAGAUCGUUGGAUCUGUAAAUCGGCGACAUACUUGCAGACACAUCUUCUUGGCGGAGUGCUUGGCGGCCUCAAGGAGGACGCGACGGUCGGUGGCAUGUAAUCUGGAGCUGCGGGCAAGGCAUAUGAGAGAGCUGGAAAUUCGAAGGAAAUUAUGGAGAAGCUUUACAAAAUUAUUAUAAGCUAUGCGAUUAGAAACUUAUCCUAAUGAUUGAAGUUAUAUACUAUAACAUAGGCCUUAUCCACACAAGUAACCGAGAAAGGUAACUAAUGUGGAAAGUAGCCAUCGUGUUUUAAAAUUGAGAUUAUUUCAUUUAUUUCUUUGUCAGAAAGCAGCCCUUAGGGAGCGGGGCUUUUUUUUAUUGAAAUGGGGGAGUUUCGGGAACAAAGCUCGGCCCAGAUUUUAAAGAAAAGCCCUACCCUAUAUGUAGGGGUAGUAUCAUUUCCCUAUCUAAGUAUAUCAACAUAGCCAACUGAAAACUCAUCGCUUGUCAGUUUUCUUGGUGUAAUACUCACUCGUAAAUGAUUGGUGUCAUAAUUUUUCACUGAUCAGGUGUGAUCGGUCUCAUCCCUGUGAUUGCAAGUUGAGGAAGAAGAAAAGCUUAAUGGCAGCAGGUUCGGGAUUUGUGGAAGACGAAGAGGAAGAUGACUGAGGAAGUUGAAGCCUCAGCACAUUGAUGAAGCGAAGCAAUGAUCUUAGCAAUCUCAUCCUUCUUGCCCUGCCUCGCUAAGCCUAGCUAGUGAAAAGUUUAGUCGGAACGAGUCCAAGCUAGUCCCAUUAAACUUAGUGUUGGCAUGCACCAAACAAAGAUUAAUAUUCUUAGCUAAGCCAGUCCAGUGAGACUUAGUGAGUGCAAACAAACACGCUCACCAAAUGUAGUCCAUAGUCAACACUAACUUUGUCUAGUUAAAGGGGAUCAAUUUAGAAAUUUAGAGCUCUAUAAAUGAUAUGGGAGUUAAAUCCCGCUUCAAUACUUGUCCAGGUUAUCAUUUAAUGUUGGUGACCUAACAAGUCUUCAUUUUUCAAAAUAUUAUGUAAUUAUUUGAAAUGUUUUACAAAUAUGAGAUCAAUUUAAAAUCAUCUCUAAGUUGAAUUGUUAUUUGUACUUAACCCUACAAUUAAAUGAGCAUUUCAAAAAUGGCCAAAAUUUAAAAAUCAAAUGAUGCCAAUGCAGGGGGUGUGGUUUGUUUUUGUCGUAUAAGCCCAAAUCGAAAACCAGAGCCCAAUUUCAGAUAUCUGAGAACCAUUUUUCUUGGACUUACACUUACCAGCUGCCACCAAAAUCUUGUCCGCACCAAAAUACAAUGCUGCAUCUCUAAAAUCUAAUGCAGGAAACAUGAAAUCUCAAAGUUUCAACUAUAAAAGAAGAGUCAUGCUAGGUAGAUGUUGAUUGAAACAUUAAAACCACCAUUAAUGUAUAACAGAGAAAGCUUGAAGAUAUAGAAAGCUAAGAGAGGGAAAACUUUCACAAAGACUUGUCAUGGUAAGAAAAAAGGUAGGAAUAAGCACACUUGGAGAGCGUAAUACAAUGAUGAGUUGUAUACGUGUUCAGGAAGUAUGAAUUGCUUCUAAAAAAGAACUAUUGAUUCUUUCCCAAUUGGUAGGACCAUAGAUUUGUCAAGAAUGAAUCACUAUUGACCUUAUUCCUUUCAUAUGGUAUUUAUAGCUCAUUACAUAAAGCAAACUUGCAAUUACACUACUUAAACUAACUUAAGAUAACAUAUCAUUUCACUUUAACUGAUGUGUCACUACUAUUAUCUAUUAUAGCCUCCCUCAGUCUCAUGUUAGGAUUAUGUAACAUGUUCAUAAUAUAUGCAAUUUGAUUGGAACUAGAGACAUGAUAAAUCACCAACUCUAUCUUAAGAACAUGCUCAUGAAUGAAAUGGACAUCCACCUCGAUGUGUGUACUACGACUAUGAAAGAUGGGACUAUGAGCUUAGGCUUGCAAAGAUAUUUACAGCUCAUUACACAUAGCCGUGCUACCCUUCACUUCAUGGCUGUCAAACCAUACUCAAGUAUCUUUUUAUUUGGCAGGGAUAUUUGGAGUAGAAUUCUCUCUUAUUUUUUUUUCCCUUCUCUUUCCUCUUUUUCUAUUUAAACAGUUACGGUUAUGCCGCGUUAACAUUUUAUAUUAAUUUUUUAUAAAAAGAAAAAAACAAAAUAAAGAAAGUGAGAGGAGGAUAUAGAAAAAGAAGAAGAGAGAAUCCUAGUCCGGAAUAUUUUUCCACUUCAGGCUUUAUCAAAGACAAUCUUGUACGAACCCAUAUGCAAAUUUCAAGGCUUCGUUUUCUACUUUAAGGUCUCGUUUGGCAUACCAUAUAAGACAUCGGAUAAUAUUAAUAUUACGAAAUACAGUGAAUACCCGCCUCCUUAGUCCUUACUCUCCAAACCCACGGGGCAAUUUAGUCGCUCUCUCCUUCCUCUCCAGGCGCACACUCGUCCUCUCCAGACGCUCUCUCUGCCUCUCGCGCGCUUGCUUUCUCAUCUGAAUCCAGGUUCGUCUUCUCAGAGGCCUUCUUCUUCUUCGUUUUCCAUCCUAUCCAGUUCAUCUUCUCAUUUUUCUUCUUCUUCCCAAGUUCCUCCCUUCCCUCUGAUCUUCUAUCUCCUCCUAUUUUUCUUGCAAUUUUCUUUCAAUUGAUUGAAUCUAGUUAUUGUUUUCUCUCUAAUUAUGCAAUUGAUUAUGUAAUUUUGUGUUUUAAUUAGAACUUUCGAAUUUUAUGGUUUGCUGUUGGGGUCGAAUUUUAGAUUUGUUGUUGGGUUUUUCAGCUUGUGUUUUGUGUGAUUGUGUGUGUUGUUUGUAGGUGUUGUCAUGGCAUCUAAACGCAUCAUGAGGGAGCUCAAGUAUUUGCAGAAGACCCCCUACCUCAUGCAGUGCUGGUAUUUGCUCCUUUUCCUUGAACUUGUCUUUUUAUUAAAUUUGGAUCCCAUAUAUAAAAUUGUAUUAGAAUUGUAGAUGGUAGUUCUAAUUGAGGCUAAUUAGCGGGGUUUUUUCGAUAAUUUCAACUGUUUGCAGCUCAGAUUUUUAGCCAAAAAUUGGCCCCUUUUCAUCAAUUGAACAGAAAAGAAAAAAACUGAAAUUUUGCCCUUUGCUUCAUCGAUUAGGAAAUAAAGAUGUAGCAAAUUUGUGGAUGGUCCAUUUGGGAGCGAAACAAUCCUCCUUUAAUGGUUUAACUGAUGUAAAAAAGUGAUGGUUAGAUAUUAUCACAAUGUAGCUGGUUUUGUAUAGGUCUCGUAUGCUGGCUCAUGCAUCUUAUGUUUCUCGGGUAUAUGUAUAUUUUGAUCACUUUACUGAACUUGGCAUACAUCAAUUCAUUUCCCUCCAGAUUAUCCAUUCAAGCCUCCAAAGGUACAAAUAGAAAAACCGGGUCCUCAUGUUUCUAUAUGUUGUUGUGGUCAUGUUCCUCCAUACAGUAUCAUUAUUGAAACAUGAGCUUUUGUGAGUCAUAUAAUGGGUGAAAUGGAUACCUGCACAUAGUCUUUAGUUAUCUAUUCAUACAUGCAGGUGAUAUAUAUUUUGGCUACUUGAAAAGCAGCAUGCAUAUCUUUUGUUAAAAGUUGUAGCAUGCAUAUAUUUUGUGUACUUGGACAAAUUGCUUCUUACUGAAAGCAAAGCAGCAGCAUGCAUAUAUUUUGGCUAUCUGGACAAACUGUUUCUUACUGAAACCAACUUGCAUUUGUAUAUUUUGUGAACUUGGAUAUGUGGUUGGAUUAAUCUAUAUAACGUAACGACUGUAGUUGUGUUUUGUGAACCUUCUUUUAUGUUAUUGGAAAAUAUUUUGAAUUUGAUGUAUGAAAUUUACUAUUUUUCUUUGUUAUUUGAAAAUUUGUGUGGUUUUGAAUAGGUAUAAAUAUGAGAAAAGUUCAACAAACACAGAUUUUUCAAUUUUUUUUUCUUCCCUUUUCUUAUCUGGUUCAGUACCAAACACAAUAUAAAUAAUACGAUCAUUAGUUUAAUACUGCACCAAACACUCGACUAAUUUAGUUAGUACCAUCCGAUGUCUAUUUAUCCUAUUCGACAAAAAUAGUCAAUACAGUUUGCCAAACGAUGCCUAAGAUUUAUUAAAGUAUAAUGUUAGAGAUAUUAAAUUUUUAUAUCAAAUUUGUCAAUAAUAAAAUAUAAAUACAUUAAACAACACUCAUUUAAUAAUUUAAUUAUCUAUAAUCAUAUAAUUUGAUUUCAAAUUUGAUAGAAAAAAUUUGGUAGUACCUUAUCAAAGACACUUCGAUGUCUCUGGUUUUUUAUCUGGGCUUUUGCUUGUUUUUUGUGAUUUAGGAUUCUCUUUCUCAUCCGGGUAAGUGCGAAAUCUCACUUGCAGGGCUCCAACGGCGAUGACAAGCUCAACCACCCACAAGCUCUCUCUUUUUCUCUCAUCUAUUCCGACUGAUUCUCACAGCUCGGGGUCCGAUUCUAGCUUUCUUAGGAAAUUGUAGUUUUGGUUAAUUUACUUUAAUCUAGAAUUUGAGGAUAAAUUUGAAAAGAGUUCAAAUCUGCAAGGGGACGGCGACCCCAGGAAGACCCACUACACGCUGGGGUCUGUAAGACGAGGUGUCGUGAGAGGUUGUCUCUGUUGGGUCUUAAAAAGACUUCAUUACUUUGGAGAUGUUUAUCUCACAAAGAAAAAUGUAAUGGAGCGAAAUUCCUCCUAGCCACAAGUUUUGUGGUUCUAGAUAUUUCUACUUGCAAGCCUACUUAAAUAUUGCAAGAACUCCAAAUUUUUUUUAGUAUGCAUGCCUAAUGCACCGACAACCUUUUGCUAGAAUUUUCUAGCACAUUUUAUGAGUUUUCUAUGGGCUGGAUAAUCUUCUUGGGCCAGGAACAAGAUUACAUUUCAACAGUCUUAAGGGCGGCACUUGAGUAUAGGAACUUGCAUGAAAUAGCGGAAAGGGAGGAGAAGGAGAAGGAGGAGGGUUUUGAUAGGGUGUGAUUAGGAGACCGUGACGAAGGUAUUAUUGGAAUGUAGAAAGUUUCAUUAAACAUCACUAUUCAUUUGCAUGUUUUAGAAAAAAAGAAAAGCAAAGAAAAGAAAAAGUAGCAUUUAGUUGCUUCGGCCUUUCUGCUUUUAUUCACAACUUCCAAAAUAAUGAACUUAGUUUAAUUUCACCAAACACCUUAAACACAAACAAUUAUAAAAUAAGAUGUUUUUUUCUUAAGCAAAACAGCCUUAAACCAGUACUAAAUGUAAUAUAUUGCAAUCCUCCUACCAAGCUCCGAAACAAGAACGGAUCAGCAAGAGGUUCUCCUGAGUUUUGCUUCUGGAAGAAGAGGAGUUGCACAAGGUUUUCACACGGUCAUACCAGCUUUCGACAAUAUCCGGCCAUCAGCACAAAAAUUACAAACAAACUGCAAAUUUAAACAAGCGAUAGCCGAGGUCAGUGAAGCAGUGGAAGAAAAACGGAAAACAAAAAGUAAUUUUAGUUGUCCUAUAUGGCAUUUAAAAAUAGUUCAAUUGUAACAAAUCCUAAGCAGUUCAUCCUGUUCACUGUUUGUAUGCUUAAUCUGCAGAUAAUCAUCGAAGAGUAUUCUAGGUUGGAUACUGGCUGUUAAAUGCCAUUAAUUCUAAAAUUCUAAAGUUACAGUUGAUAAUCAUCAAGAAAUUAGAUAGAAUUUAGUCCUGAAAAGGAUAGAAAGAAAACAACAAAUAAUAAAACACACAAUUACCUAAUGCAUGUUGAAUAUGAUGAUCAAAGUAUUAAGGAGCGUAACAAGAAAACUUGACUACUUGACAAUAGUCACUAACAUCAGUUGUACAAAACGAGUUGGAACAAAAAAAGCCAUAUGAGGGGCUAAUGCCCAUCAUAGUUAGUAGUAUACGGAACGGGUAUAGUACGUGAAUACACUAACGUGUAUUUUUGUGCAACUAAAGUCAAUUGCAACUGAAAGCUAGUACGGGUAUUGGGACAAGGACAGA